GGCAACAGUAAUAGCGUCACUGUAUUGAUCAUUCAGCACUGUGUGGCAUAAGAGCAGUGCCAAGGGUGAAAUAUAUGCUCCCUUCUAAGUCUUGGCUGGCUUGUAGCAGGGAACUCAGGAGACAACUUGGAGCUUGCCAACAGAACCAUAGCCAAAUCCAUCAAAGGAGGAAAGGAGAUAGCAGGACCCAGGUGACCAUUUUUACCAAUCAGACAGGAUUAGUGGUUUUCCAGGCUGAGUUACCAAAGAGGUCAGAGAAGAGGCAUGUGAGCAGGACAACAUGAAGAAGCUUGCACUGCCACUGCACAUGCUUUACCUGAUGUGCAGCUAAAGGACUUCAUUCUCCACCUACAGACAAUUCUGUUACUUUUCAUGAACAUAUAGUUCACUUACAUUCCCCAAGCCAGUGUUAGGAUUAUUUCACUGUUACUACAAAGUUUGCUGGUAUUUUUAUGAGUAAGCUCUGAAAAGUAA